CAGCCCAUGCUUAUGUCAUGUGGGUUCAAUGCGGUCAGCCCACAUGGGUUUCCCAUGUUGAGCCCAUGAUAAUGAAACUGCAUGGGCCCCACAUAGUGUUGCCCAUUUCUGUCCCAUCCCCAGUUAGCCCACAUAAAAAAGGAAUGGGGCCUACAUACCCAUGCCCAGGUCCAACCCAUGUACGGUCAGCCCAUGCUUAUGUCAUGUGGGUUCAAUGCGGUCAGCCCACAUGGGCUUCCCAUGUUGGGCCCAUGAUACUGAAACUACAUAGGCCCCAUAUAGUAUUGCCCAUUUCUGCCCCAUUCACAGUUAGCCCACAU